AUCUAGAAAGUGGGGGACCAGGAAGCACUCUGUUCUGCAGAAUAAAAGGCACCUAGACUUUAGCCCACAUGCCUUUAAUUAAGGAAGGUAUGUAAGUUAAUGAGCAAAAUCAAGCAUAGGCAAUGACAAAGCUACCUCUUGUGAAUGAGAAAACAAACUAUUAGCACUGGUGCAUACCUCUAGGGCAUAGCGCAGCUGCUCAUAGAAUAGCAUGAUUUAUGCAUAACUCCCUUAUGUUGUCUUUGAAGGAGACCGGAUACUUUAGAACUCUGCAUUAGCAGAGUUCAGCAGUUCCAGGGUCUCCAACAAUGCAGACAAAUUAAGAUUAUGUAUAUUAUAUAGUCAUAUAAAGUUCUGCAAACCCUUCAAAUUUGAAGGCAACUCAACGUCAAGACAGUGAUGCGGACUAAAUACACUUAUUUGGAUUUAUGCUUUUAUUUGGUGAAAUUAAAAUAACGAUGCCCAUUUUAAAAUUUAUUUAGAAAAAAUCAUAAAUGAGGUAUAAUUUCAGAUGAGUUUUAAAGAAAAAAAUUGUAUUUAACAUAUGCAUCUAAAAUAGUGUGAUGAUACUUAUGACAAAAAAUGUUGCAAGCUUAAAAACAGUAAGAGGAGAUUUCAAAUUGUGAGUGUUUACAGGAUGUAUGUGUUUAGGUUAAAGGCAAAAGGGUAGAUUUUGAUCAUGACUUUGGAAAAUUGCCUGAAUUAUCUAAGCCUUAGUUUCAAGAUACAGGAAGUUUUCAGUUAGCUAUUGCUAUGUAAUAAACCACCCACAAUUCAGUGGCUUAAAUAGUAAACAGACACUAUUGCUUAUGCAUCUGUUGGUGAGCUGGAUCUUCUCUCUUAGCACACACUCAUGUAUCUGCCUUUGGUUAGUCAGGUGGCCAAGGGGUGGCGGGUCUAGGGUGUCCCCAAUUGGGAAAGUGGGAACCAUUAGGUUUCUGCAUGUGAGCUUUGUUCUCCAGCAGGCUAGCCUAAAUUUGUUCUCAUGGUGGUAGCGGCAGAGUUCUAGGGGAAUAAGUGGAACAGCUCGUGUUCUUUUAAGACCUGGGCUUGAAACUGGCACACUGCCACUUCGAUGGCAUUUGAUUAGCUAAAGAGAAUUAAAUUCAAGAGAUGGGGAAAUAGAGUCCACCUAUUGAUGGGAGGAGCUGCAAAGUCACAUUUCAAAGAACAUGAAUAAAAACAGGGAUGAAAAUGUUGGUCAUUUUCAGGAUUAACCUACCAUAUUAAUAUAUUAUUAAAGAAAAAAAGGGUGAUAAAGAGACGAAAAACACAUUGAUUAGUAUUUCUCAAACUUUAAUGUGAGAAAGAACUGUCUUGGAUAUUCAUUAAAAUGCAAAUCCCUGGGCUCAAUUCUCUGAUAUUAUUAUUCUGGGUCUAGGAUGUGGUCCAGAAAUCUUUAAUUAGGUAAAAUUAUAUCACUCCUCAAUAUUGAUGGAGAUGAUCUAAUGACUAUGCUUUGAGAAAUAAAUUAAAUGAUGGAGGGAGAUUUUUAAAACUGGAAUAAUGUAUAUUGAGUCACUACAGGAGAAAAUGAUGAAGCAGGUGAAAACUGCUAAAAGAUUAUUCCUUUCAUUUGUUACUGUAUUAGCUUUUAGUGUUCAAAGAGCUUCUAUAUACAUUAUCUAAGACCCAGUAAGCUUGGGAAUUAAGAGAAAUGAAAUGUGUUUCAUUACAGCUAUAAAAUAGAAUUUAUGGGACUUAAAACACCAGUCUCCUACCAUAUAAUGUAGUUUUCUAAUCACAGCUUUAACCUUGUGAUUCAGAUGAGGACAUUAAAUGGUGAAACUGAAAAAAGAACUUCCUGCAUUUAUUCAAAGUUUGACUCAAUAUAUGAGAAUUAGGCAUGGGAAAGAUUAUACUUACUGAAAAUUAAUUUGGAAAAAUUGAUUAAUUUGGAGGGAAGGAAUAUUUAUCUUAUUUCUAAUAUUUAUUUAUUUAUUUAUUUUUGCCUCCUGUGGCAUGUGGAAGUUCCUGGGCCAAGGGUCAAAUCAGAGCUGCAGCAAUCCCAGAUCCUUAACCUGUUGAGCCACCAGGGAACUCCUGGGAAGGAAUAUUUCUAAAUCAAAAAUAAAGGAAAAAGUUGUAAAUUGUCAGCAAUGACUCAAAUUCUUCUCUGGGAGAUAAUGGUACAGGCAAACUAUAACACUUAAAUAUAUGAUUAUUAGUGAACUUAUUCAGCAUUUGCCAAGUUUUAAUGGCAUUUAACUCUAAGUACCACAGACAAAACAAUUGGAUCAAGUAUUUUCAUCCUGCAGAACUAAAAUUGAGAAUUGUAUUAUAAGACAUUCAGGCAAAUUUCACAUGCCUUCCUUGUGAAGAGGUCACUAAAACUAAACUGCUAGCCUCUAUGAAUCCGGAGAAAAAGCUAGCAAACAUUAAAGAAGAUAAUACAUACAAAUCAAAGGAUAUUUGAACAAGAAAAAAAUAUAGUGAAAUUGAUCUUCCUAUGGCUACAGAGACAGUAUUGGGCAUUUGAAAAGUGAUUCACAUUCUUUUUUUUUGUCUUUUUAGGGCCGCACUCAUGGCAUACAGAGGUUCCCAGGUGAGGAGUCAAAUCAGAGCUACAGCUGCAGGCCUACACCACAGCCACAGCAACGUGGGAUGUGAGCCCCAUCUGUGGCCUACACCACAGUUCAUGGCAACACUGGAUCCUUAACCCACUGAGCAAGGCCAGGGACCGAACCCACAUCCUCAUGAUUUUUACUUGGAUUCAUUUCUGCUGCGCCACAACUGGAACUCCCUUACUGACUAUUUUUAACUAAAAUUGGAUCCUGAUUUAGGUAUAUUUUUACUCAAGUACCUGUGAGUCUUGACAAGUUCUCUGAAACCUCUGUAUCUUAGUGUCUUAAUCUAUAAAAAGGACACAGGAACUUCCGGUUCUAAAAUUCAGAGAUUCUGUUUUGAUCAGAAUCGUUUAACCUAUCUUCUUCGGGAAAAAAAUCUAAUGAUCCAAUGAAUGAUAUAUUUACUGGUGGAACAUGACACAUAUUUCUCUGAGAUUGGGUCAGUGGUCAUUUUUAACAGCCUUAUUUAACUCUGAAGCCGGUUUAUUAUUUUAGUAGUGAGAUCUUCUCCUGUCUUGGAAGGUUGUAUUAGUUUUUAGGGGUACCAUGACAACACACCCCAGAUUGGCUGGCUUCAACAACAGGGAUUUAUUUUCUCAAAGUUCUAGAGGCUGGGAAGAUCGAGGUGCUGGCAGAUACAGUGUCUAGCAAACUCCUUUCCUGAUUCAUAGACAGAUGUCUUGGUUAAACAACUAAGAGGAAGAUUUCUGCAUCUGAUGGUAAAUGUAUGCUUAACUUUAUAAGAAACUAUUUCCUAAAGUGCUUACACUAUUUCACAUUUCUGGCUUCUGUCCUCAGAAUCCCAGUUACCCCAUAUUCUUGUCUCCAUGUAGUAUAUAGUCAGUCUUUUCAAUUUUAGGCACUUUGAUGUGUGUGGUGAUAUUUUAUUGUAUUUUCAUAUGUAUUUCCCCAGUGAUUAAUUUAUUAAAUUAUCUAAACUUACAGAAUUUGUCUCAGUGUUUAAAAGAAAACAACCAUCAGAGUGUCUGUGAGGAGCCUGGAACCCAUCUGUCUCCUGCUUCAAGACCCUCUCAAAAAAAACAAAAGCAAAAACAAAAAAUCAGUGUGAUUUAACUGGGUUAUUUUCUUUAAACACUGAGACCCUGAGACAAAUUCUGUAAGUUUAGAUAACUUCCAUAUGCCAAGGUGCACCUCCCCCACCGCCAAAAAAAGGUCAAGACCUCCCAAACUACACACAUGCAAAAGUUCUUUACGUUCCUUUGGCAUCAGAGAAGGGAGAGGCAUCAGACCAAGGUACAUCCUGUAAAUGUCCCAGAAACCUUUGCGCUAGAACCCAUACUGGCUAAAAGAUACGUGGGGGACAGGGGAGGGCCCUGAGUCAGGCCAAAUAUGGGUUGAAGGCCAGAUGAAGCAAGGUGAUUGGUCAGAGGCAUCAUACAAGUGAUUUAAACCACCUCCAAAGCCUCUGUCGCUCUCUUUCUCUCUUUACAUCUUUCUCUCUGUCGUCUUUCUCUCCUCCCUCCCCCAGCCCAUCCGUGUUUUCUCUGUACAUAUCUUUCCCCUUAAUAAACUCUUUAUUUGCCUUACUACUCUCAAUUUUUUUACUGAUUUUUUUUCUCGAAAGGGGAAAUACUGGAGACCUUCAUCAAGCUUGCUGGCCCUUGAGGGCUAGUGGUUAGGGUUCCGUGCUCUUAGCCCACAGCCACCUGAGAACAGGUCUCAGUAUAGAAAUGUAAGCUGGGCUAGUGUAGCAUGCCUACCAUCCGGAGAUGUUUUCUUAAGAAUCUUGAUUUCAUUAUUUUUUUCUACUGUCUGUCACUGAGUCAGAAAAUAGAACUCAGUACCUUUGUACCUCUAUACAUAAAUAUAUUUUCAUGCCAUCAUCUCUCCCAGAUAAUGCACUUAUCUGUCUACAGUAAAAGUUUCUCAUUAUUUUCCUCUAAUCAUUUAAUUUCUCCUUUUGAAAACUUCAUUAAUUAAUAGUUAAUUAUAAGUGAUUUAUGCAUCUGAGAAAAAAGAAGUAGUUAAUUGGAAGUGUUGGCAUAUUGCACAAGAAGUUUGCUAUAAUUUAGUUGUUAUGAAAAGACUGAAAUUAUUAGACGACACAUUUUAAAAAUGCAAAUGAAUUGUGUGAUGAAGUGUGAGGUUGGAAAAAUGGGUUUCAGAGAAAAUUGAUGUGCAUUAUUUUAGUAAAUUAUAAUUUUAUUUGCAAAGUAUUUUCAUAUAUACAUUAAGCAGCU
rnacentral:lncRNA from 1 species